rnacentral:tRNA from 1 species
GGGAGUAGGGCUCAGUGGUAGAGGGCGUGCUUAGCAUGCACGAAGUCCUGGGUUCCAUCUCCAGUACCUCCA